GACGAACGCUGGCGGCGUGCUUAACACAUGCAAGUCGAACGGAAAGGCCCUGCUUGCAGGGUGCUCGAGUGGCGAACGGGUGAGUAACACGUGGGUGAUCUGCCCCUUACUUUGGGAUAAGCCUGGGAAACUGGGUCUAAUACUGGAUAGGACCAUGCUGUAGGUGGUGUGGUGGAAAGAUUAGUUUCGGUAAGGGAUGAGCUCGCGGCCUAUCAGCUUGUUGGUGGGGUAAUGGCCUACCAAGGCGUCGACGGGUAGCCGGCCGGAGAGGGUGGACGGCAAGUUGGGGACUGGGAGCCGGCCCGCACCCCUCGGGGGGGCGGGGGGGGGGAAAGUGGCACAGGGGGCGAAGGCCGGAUGCAGCGCCGCCGGGGGGGGGAUGGGGGCGUUGGGGUUGUAAACUCCUUCCAGCCAUGACAAACCCCUGGGGGUGACGGUGGUGGAAAAAGAAGCCCCGGCUAACUACGUG
rnacentral:rRNA from 1 species